rnacentral:rRNA from 1 species
UACGUAGGGGGCGAGCGUUGUCCGGAAUCAUUGGGCGUAAAGCGCUCGUAGGCGGUCCAUCGCGUCGGGAGUGAAAAGCUGGGGCUUAACCCCAGUCCUGCUUCCGAUACGGGUGGACUAGAGGUAGGUAGGGGAGAACGGAAUUCCUGGUGUAGCGGUGAAAUGCGCAGAUAUCGGGAGGAACACCGGUGGCGAAGGCGGUUCUCUGGGCCUUACCUGACGCUGAGGAGCGAAAGCGUGGGGAGCGAACAGG